rnacentral:misc_RNA from 1 species
GAUGAAGAACGCAGCGAAACGCGAAAGGUAAUGCGAAUUGCAGAAUUCAGUGAAUCAUCGAAUCUUUGAACGCACAUUGCGCCCGCCAGUAUUCUGGCGGGCAUGCCUGUCUGAGCGUCAUUUCAACCCUCAUGCCCCUAGGGCGUGGUGUUGGGGAUCGGCCAAAGCCCGCGAGGGACGGCCGGCCCCUAAAUCUAGUGGCGGACCCGUCGUGGCCUCCUCUGCGAAGUAGUGAUAUUCCGCAUCGGAGAGCGACGAGCCCCUGCCGUUAAACCCCCAACUUUCCAAGGUUGACCUCAGAUCAGGUAGGAAUACCCGCUGAACUUAAGCAUAUCAAUAAGCGGAGGA